CGUAGGGGAACCUGCGGAAGGAUCAUUCACACGCAUCCAUUUUGACUCAUUGUGAACCAUCUGCUGUGAGUUGUGCUCUUGGAUGGAGACACCUUGUCUACAACUUUGGGCAGAACUCGCGGGUAGUUCGGGUGAUAUUGGACCGUCUUCCUUUAUUGUCCGGCUACCAUUGUUUUGUUUAAGAGAUGUUCUUGUGUUGCGAACAUGUUUCUACUUGGGUGGGGUGCCCACUCGCACUUGUUGCAUACAACUUUCAGCGACGGAUGUCUCGGCUCGAACAACGAUGAAGGGCGCAGCGAAGUGUGAUAAGCAUUGUGAAUUGCAGAAUUCCGUGAACCAAUAGGGAUUUGAACGUAUACUGCGCUUUCGGGAUAUCCCUGAAAGCAUGCCUGCUUCAGUGUCAAGAUAUUCUCAUGCCACUGUCAAUGUGUCAUGCUUUGCAUGCCUCUGACAGCAGUGCGUGUUUGUGCAUCAAGGUGCCUUGCGCCCUUGAUGCAUCCAGUGCAUGUGUCUGUGCUCUGUCAACAACUUGAUAAGCACCUUGUGUGUCCAUUGUUGCUUGACUGCUGCACUGAUGGUCUUGCCUCUGAUCUGUUUCUGCAGAUUCUUUUCAUGACAUGAAGUUAGGUGAGCAAACCCGCUGAAUUUAAGCAUAUCAAUAG
rnacentral:rRNA from 1 species